rnacentral:rRNA from 1 species
UACGUAGGGUCCGAGCGUUGUCCGGAAUUACUGGGCGUAAAGAGCUCGUAGGCGGUUUGUCGCGUCGGCUGUGAAAACUCGGGGCUCAACCCCGAGCCUGCAGUCGAUACGGGCAAACUAGAGUGUGGUAGGGGAGACUGGAAUUCCUGGUGUAGCGGUGAAAUGCGCAGAUAUCAGGAGGAACACCGGUGGCGAAGGCAGGUCUCUGGGCAUUAACUGACGCUGAGGAGCGAAAGCAUGGGGAGCGAACAGG